UUUCCGUAGGUGAACCUGCGGAAGGAUCAUUCAUAAUAAGUGUUUUAGGGCACUUUUUUAAAUCCAUAUCCACCUUGUGUGCAAUGUCAGGGUUGAGUUUUCUCUCGAGAGGAACAGCCGCAAACAUCAACUAUAUUUGAACUCUUUGUCUUACAAAUAUUAUGAAUAAAACAAUUCAAAAUACAACUUUCAACAACGGAUCUCUUGGCUCUC
rnacentral:misc_RNA from 1 species